ACCAUUACCUAAACCCAUCCUACAUAGGAAUUCUUGAGAUGCUGCUUUUCCAGAGGAAUAGUCUGAGCUGUGCUGGGAGAUGACAUAACCUUGUGAGGAGAAAAGACUUGGCACCCUGGGCUGAGCUGGAAUUCCAGGUUUUCCAUCUUCUGCCUGUGUAACUUAUUGGCAGAUCAGUUAUCCUCCCCAAGCCUCAGUGUCUGGUUAGAAAUAGAUGCUAGAGUUGUCAGGAUUAGUAUAUAGAGGUUACUUUGCAGAGGAUGACCAACAUUGCUCAUUUCAGAAGGUGAGGAAGUUUUUGGCCUGUGACAGGACUUAAUGUCUUGCAGGUAUAGCUGUCUAAGAUAAGGUUUUUUAAUAGCAAAGGGGAGAGAACAGAGUGGCUAAAAUCCAGAGCCUACACAGGAGAUAUUUAUAACAUGCUACUCAAAAAACCGAGUCCCAUAGAAUAUUUCUAGCACCACACUUUCCAAACAUUUGCCAUUAAGGCCCACAUGGACCUUGUUACCGAACCAGGUUGAUCUUGCAAGAUUUGCAGGCAGCAAGCCAAAACGUUGAAUUCUCUAGGCCAGAAUACUGAAGUGGGUAGCAUUCCCCUUCUCCAGGGGAUCUUCCCAACCCAGGGAUCAAACCCAGGUCUCCUGCAUUACAGGCAGAUUUUUUACCAGCUGAGCCACAAGGGAAGCCCUGAAGAGAGAGUUCUCACAAUCCUUCACAUUCUCAAAUCUCACAUUCCUUCCUGAAGGCAAGGGCUCAGGGUAUUGAUGGGAUAAAGAAUGAAGAAGCAGGACCAUCUGAGGCUUGGAGCUUGAUGAGUGUUGGGGGAGGUGCUUGGGGAAAGGCGUGGUAAUUGUAGUUCUGAGCAGGAGUAAUUGAGCUACAAGCCUCUGCAUGAGGCCACUAGGAUGGCCUGAGGGUUGAGUUUUUGGUUCCCUGACAUCAAAAAUUCAGGAAUUGGACACUUGCGCAUGCCCAGUUGGAAGGUUGUUGGUCCCAUCCAAUCUUAGCCACUUGCACCAGACACAGCUGACUCUAAAUUCCUGGAGAAAAAAACUCAGCAAACAUCUCAUUUAGGCCUUUUCUGACUUGGAACACAUGCAAGUCUUUUUUUUGUAGCAACAGUUAAAACAAACUUGAUGGGUGAAGGCAGGUCCCAGGUGAAAUGGAUUUAUCUAAUGAUUCCUUUCACUUGUAGCACCCCACUGGAGGGGAUUGGAAAGGAGAUGAAGCUGCUCAUGGCUGAAGGCCCAGUGCUCUUGAGGAAUGAGAGAGCUGUAUAGUGUACCUAGGAACACUACCUGCUAUCCUGUGGCUAACUAGGUAGGAAGCACUGCCCAAGGUGCUCUACUGAUUGGAGAAGAUCUCUAUGAACAUGGAGAGAACUUGCUAGAAAAGUUCAGACUACCUUCUGCGUGCUGGAGAAAUUUGGAGAUCAGUCAUUCUUAAACAUGAAUACUUACUGCUAGUGGUUGGAGGAAGUUCUUUUGGCUGCCUUGGGUCUUCGUUGCUGUUUGCAGGCUCUCUAAUUGCAGUGAGCAGGCUUCUGACUGCAGUGAUGUCAGUGUUACUUUCCCAGGACCCACUGAGAUGUGCACCCAGAGUACCUUAAAGCGGUCCCAUGAACUGGCCAGUGGGGUUGGGCAUUGGUCAUGUAUGGAUGUGAGAGUUGGACUGUGAAGACAGCUGAGCGCUGAAGAAUUGAUG